CCCACUUCCAGCGAUGCAGCUGCGCGGGAGUCUCGCUGUCUCUCACACACCCUGGAUCCACAACCAGGAUGCAGCUCCCAGUGGGUGAACCUCUCCUAAAUCCAGAGAGCGUAGCAGGAACAAAUCAAGCUCUUACAGGGGCUUACUCUGGGGAGUAAGUGAUAAUAGCAAUCCCCAGAGUGCACACCCAAGCAUGAGCCAAGGCUUCAAGAAAGGUGCAAGUAGGUCUGGUUUAUUGAGGGCUACCUGCCCGGUAUUUAUGCAAGUGUCCACCAGUUGGACACUCUCCUAGGG